GGAACAGAAGCCCGAAACCCUGGGAGUGCCUCCCGCCUAGGGCACUCUUCCUUCCACCCUCAGGAUGGGGAUCACGAUAGUCUCUUAGCAGAUGCGGGCGAGGACGUCUUAUUCGAUUCCCUGACCUCCAGUUCCAUGACAACCUUCUCCGCAGCCCAAGAGAGGCAGACAGGCGGGCGCCCGUCUCUGCACCCUGGAGAAAGAAAUGGAAGUGUGGUUCGGGUGACAACGCAGGCGACUGGUGUGUGCUGCGUAGGACGUAAUCCUGCGCUGCGCAUGCGGCAAAGCAAGGGACCCAAAGCCGCGCGGAGACAGAGGCACAAAUACGCCUGAGAGGCUGGAAAAGCAGUGCCUUCCCAGUAUGCAGAAGUGCCGUGAGAUUGAGUCUGACCAGUAAGAUUUAAGAGGAAGUCUGCUGACUCAUCUAUUAGAUCAAGCAGAAGACUUGAAAGAGAAAUGUAUCAGACUCAUGCUUCUGGAAAAAAAAUGGAUUUGGAUGUACUUUACCUAUUUCUUCUUCUAAUUAUAACUAAAAUCCUUGGCUGAAAUACAUAAAGCAGCUAUCAUAAGACUCUGAAAGUUGGGGAAAAGAAGGUGGCCUGACCAAGCUCUUUGGGACUUGAAAAAUGGCCCAGCAGUGAGUUUCAAGAGGUUUUAUUUUGCCUCCUGUGUAUCCAGGCCUCAGUGCAAGAGAAUCCUACUCUCACUAGCCAAACGGAUGGGAGAAGCGGGACAAAAUCCAUCCUACUCCAGGUGAGCACCAUGAAAAAAGACACACCUAUCCCCAUUGUCACUAUUUCUGGCCAAGACUAUGGGCUGGAGCUCCUACAACACCUGCACUGACACCAGCAGAGGCAGCUGUCCCCUAACCUGGCACUGCGCAGACUGUGAGGGUGUGCACUGUUGACUAUUGCUGCACUACACUAAGUAAACAGCUGCAAAAAGGGCAGCGUGCUGCUCCUGCACGACUGGUGAUGGGGUGAGAAGCAGAAAAGAGAAAUGGAAAGCAGGAGUCUUUAAAUCUGUGUAUGAAGUCCUGGGCAGACCUUUGAGCAAACCAUCUAUGAAGUUGGCCAUAAUCAACACAGCACACUGAACUAUGUAUGGACUACUGCCCAGGUUUCAGAUUGGCUUCUGGGUUGCACCCAAGUGGGACAGACCAGAAUAGCACUGCAAAGGCUUUGAAAAUGAAUUGACAUUUGAAACACAGCCCACAAAACUGGGCCAGGACAUGCAUUUUGAACCUAAACAGUAUGGCUGUCUUUAAAAAUGGAAGA
ensembl:lncRNA